AUCCAACUGACGAGUCCCAAAUAGGACGAAACGCGCGUCAACCUGGAU
rnacentral:hammerhead_ribozyme from 1 species